rfam:Triticum aestivum genome assembly, contig: Triticum_aestivum_CS42_TGACv1_scaffold_000676_1AL
AUGGUACUCCUCCGUCUGAAAAGACUUGUCAUCAAAAUGAAUAAAAGAGGAUGUAUUUAGAUGUAUUUUAAUUUUAAAUACACUUUUUUUUCCAUUUUAAUGACAAGUAUUUUCGACGGAGAGAGUAUUUU